rnacentral:rRNA from 1 species
GACGAACGCUGGCGGCGUGCUUAACACAUGCAAGUCGAACGAAGAGCGAUGGAAGCUUGCUUCUAUCAAUCUUAGUGGCGAACGGGUGAGUAACGCGUAAUCAACCUGCCCUUCAGAGGGGGACAACAGUUGGAAACGACUGCUAAUACCGCAUACGAUCUAAUCUCGGCAUCGAGGAUAGAUGAAAGGUGGCCUCUACAUGUAAGCUAUCACUGAAGGAGGGGAUUGCGUCUGGUUAGCUAGUUGGAGGGGUAACGGCCCACCAAGGCGAUGAUCAGUAGCCGGUCUGAGAGGAUGAACGGCCACAUUGGGACUGAGACACGGCCCAGACUCCUACGGGAGGCAGCAGUGGGGAAUCUUCCGCAAUGGACGAAAGUCUGACGGAGCAACGCCGCGUGAGUGAUGACGGCCUUCGGGUUGUAAAGCUCUGUUAAUCGGGACGAAAGGCCUUCUUGCGAA